AUUGAACGCUGGCGGCAUGCCUUACACAUGCAAGUCGAACGGUAACGCGGGGCAACCUGGCGACGAGUGGCGAACGGGUGAGUAAUGCAUCGGAACGUGCCCAAUAGUGGGGGAUAGCCCGGCGAAAGCCGGAUUAAUACCGCAUACGACCUGAGGGUGAAAGCGGGGGAUCGCAAGACCUCGCGCCUUUGGAGCGGCCGAUGUCGGAUUAGCUAGUUGGUGGGGUAAAGGCCUACCAAGGCUACGAUCCGUAGCUGGUCUGAGAGGACGACCAGCCACACUGGGACUGAGACACGGCCCAGACUCCUACGGGAGGCAGCAGUGGGGAAUUUUGGACAAUGGGGGCAACCCUGAUCCAGCCAUGCCGCGUGCGGGAAGAAGGCCUUCGGGUUGUAAACCGCUUUUGUCAGGGAAGAAACGGCUUGGGUUAAUACCCCGGGCUAAUGACGGUACCUGAAGAAUAAGCACCGGCUAACUACGUGCCAGCAGCCGCAGUAACAC
rnacentral:rRNA from 1 species